CGAUCGGUAGCCGGACUGAGAGGUUGAACGGCCACAUUGGGACUGAGACACGGCCCAGACUCCUACGGGAGGCAGCAGUGGGGAAUAUUGCACAAUGGGGGAAACCCUGAUGCAGCGACGCCGCGUGGAGGAAGAAGGUCUUCGGAUUGUAAACUCCUGUUGUUGGGGAAGAUAAUGACGGUACCCAACAAGGAAGUGACGGCUAACUACGUGCCAGCAGCCGCGGUAAAACGUAGGUCACAAGCGUUGUCCGGAAUUACUGGGUGUAAAGGGAGCGCAGGCGGGAAGACAAGUUGGAAGUGAAAUCUAUGGGCUCAACCCAUAAACUGCUUUCAAAACUGUUUUUCUUGAGUAGUGCAGAGGUAGGCGGAAUUCCCGGUGUAGCGGUGGAAUGCGUAGAUAUCGGGAGGAACACCAGUGGCGAAGGCGGCCUACUGGGCACCAACUGACGCUGAGGCUCGAAAGUGUGGGUAGCAAACAGGAUUAGAUACCCUGGUAGUCCACACCGUAAACGAUGAUUACUAGGUGUUGGAGGAUUGACCCCUUCAGUGCCACAGUUAACACAAUAAGUAAUCCACCUGGGGAGUACGACCGCAAGGUUGAAACUCAAAGGAAUUGACGGGGGCCCGCACAAGCAGUGGAGUAUGUGGUUUAAUUCGACGCAACGCGAAGAACCUUACCAAGUCUUGACAUCCCUUGACAGGCAUAGAAAUAUGUUUUCUCUUCGGAGCAAGGAGACAGGUGGUGCAUGGUUGUCGUCAGCUCGUUCGUGAGAUGUUGGGUUAAGUCCCGCAACGAGCGCAACCCUUAUGGUCAGUUACUACGCAAGAGGACUCAGGCCAGACUGCCGUUGACAAAACGGAGGAGGGUGGGGAUGACGUCAAAUCAUCAUGCCCUUUAUGACUUGGGCUACACACGUACUACAAUGGCGUUAAACAAAGAGAAGCAAGACCGCGAGGUGGAGCAAAACUCAGAAACAACGUCCCAGUUCGGACUGCAGGCUGCAACUCGCCUGCACGAAGUCGGAAUUGCUAGUAAUCGUGGAUCAGCAUGCCACGGUGAAUACGUUCCCGGGCCUUGUACACACCGCCCGUCACACCAUGAGAGCCGGGGGGACCCGAAGUCGGUAGUCUAACCGCAAGGAGGACGCUGCCGAAGGUAAAACUGGUGAUUGGGGUGAAGUCGUAACAAGGUAGCCGUAGGAGAACCUGCGGCCG
rnacentral:rRNA from 1 species